rnacentral:lncRNA from 1 species
GCUUGUGAGAGAGAAAAGGAGGGCCAUAUCCAGAAAACACGUGGGGCUGUGGUUCCUUCCUGUUCACGCGCCCUUCACACGCCUCCCCCACCAGCCCACCCAGUUCCCCACCCUGUCUGUCCUCGGGGAAAACCAUCCCUCCCCCUGUGAUUAAUGGAUUAGUGGAUGUUUUUCUGAAAACAGGACUUUUAUCCCCUGCGUGACACCAGAUGGAAUCUCACCACAUGCGGUUACAGGGUUCAGUUCUAACUUUUGCCUUUGCAGGGCCUGUCCUUCACCAAAAUUAAAUUAUAGCCAUGAUUACAUUGGUGUAAAAGUGAAUAGAUUUUUCAAUUUCUUUACCUGUUUUCUGAGACCUCUUCUGAUUUUAUUUUAUUUUAUUUUUAUUUUUUAAAUUUUUUGUCUUUUGAGGGCUGCACCCACAGCAUAUGGAAGCUCCCUGUUCGAAUCGGAGCUGCAGCUGCUGGCCUGCACCAGAACCAUAGCAACACAGGAUCCAAGCUGCAUCUUCGACCUACACCCCAGCUCAUGGCAAUGCCAAAUUGAACCUGUGACCUCAUGGAUACUAGUCAGGUUCGUUACCACUAAGCUAUAAUGGGAACUCCCUGAUUGUAUUUAUUUUAUUUUAACUUAUUUUGUAUUUUAUUUUAUGGCCUCACCAGUGGCAUAUGAAAGUUCCCAGGCCAGGAACUAAACCCACACCGCCACAGCAACCCAAUAGUUGGAUUCUUAAUCCAUUGCACCACAGCAGGAACUCCUUUUUGAUUUUAAAAGAAGUUAAAACACUUUUGAGAGGCCCGAAAGUAUCUCAGGCGCUUAUGUCUUCUUCAUGGUGAUGCUGGCUGUGUAAAUUAUGCUCUUGAGGGGAUGAAUUCUUAAUUGAUUUGGGCAAAGUGUGUAUGAUAAGCACAAUUUCAUACUCAAACCGUAUGGUCCAUUUGCCGUGUUUGGUAAACCACUGUAGACAACAUACUGCUUGUAUUUCUGAUCCUGUGUCAAACGUGGCCUCAAAUUACACACAUCAGGGCUGCAAAAAUUGCAGUAUCGCAGGCCUGAAGUGGUCCCCUUGUUCAAAUGAUUAGACCCUGCUGAGUGCUGGCAAACCUUCAGGGCCCUGCGAAAUUGUGGCACUCUCUUUGAUUUCAAGUUUGCUGGGACCAAAGCUGAUGGAUGCUUUGAUGAGCGGGUCUUGCAGAUUCUCUCUUUUAGGCCUUAUUCAAGGAUCCUGAGAGGUUCAAACGCUUCAGGGAAAAAAAAAAAAAAAAAAAAA